AUUUCAUUAGUAAAAAUAUUAUAUUAUCUUGAUAAGGUAAAGUUCUGUAAUGAUGAAAUA
rnacentral:tRNA from 1 species